rnacentral:tRNA from 1 species
GGGCCCAUAGCUCAGUUGGGAGAGCGUCUGGAUGGCAUCCAGAAGGUCGCCGGUUCGAGCCCGGCUGGGUCCA